rnacentral:rRNA from 1 species
GAUGGACGCUGGCGGCGUGCCUAAUACAUGCAAGUCGAGCGAACGUACGAGAAGCUUGCUUCUCUGAUGUUAGCGGCGGACGGGUGAGUAACACGUGGAUAACCUACCUAUAAGACUGGGAUAACUUCGGGAAACCGGAGCUAAUACCGGAUAAUAUUUUGAACCGCAUGGUUCAAAAGUGAAAGACGGUCUUGCUGUCACUUAUAGAUGGAUCCGCGCUGCAUUAGCUAGUUGGUAAGGUAACGGCUUACCAAGGCAACGAUGCAUAGCCGACCUGAGAGGGUGAUCGGCCACACUGGAACUGAGACACGGUCCAGACUCCUACGGGAGGCAGCAGUAGGGAAUCUUCCGCAAUGGGCGAAAGCCUGACGGAGCAACGCCGCGUGAGUGAUGAAGGUCUUCGGAUCGUAAAACUCUGUUAUUAGGGAAGAACAUAUGUGUAAGUAACUGUGCACAUCUUGACGGUACCUAAUCAGAAAGCCACGGCUAACUACGUG